GCCAGCCUGGCCUAGUGGUUUGAGUGUCUGACUAGGAAUUCAGGAGACCAGGGUUUGAAUCCCUGCUCAGCCA